rnacentral:pre_miRNA from 1 species
AGCAUGAUUUCUGGAUCAUAUGGUAGGAGUCAGUUUAGUUGUAUAAGAAACUGCCAAACUGUCUUCCACAAUUUUGUACCAUUUUGUGCUUCCACUAGCAAU